AAAUUAUAUUAUAAAAUGUUUAAAAAUACUAUAUUUAAUUUAUAGCAUAUCAAAAAUGCAAAAAUAAUAAUAAUAACAAUGUGGGACACACACAACUUCAAAACUAAUGAAACAAGAAGCGGUUGUUGUCUCUGGUGAGACUUUUAAUUAUGGAUUAUGCAAUCUUCUCUUUUGUUUUCUAUUUCAAUUAAUUUUGUUGAACAGACUGAGAAUCAGGUGGCUAACUUUUUAACUCGUUCUUUUAGUUCUAUUCCUCGUUAUGUUUUCCUCAAGGGUUAUGUCUCUGCUAGUUUGAAAGCUAUCUUCAUAGCUGAUUUUAUUUAAUAAAAGUUAAUUUUUUGAUUAAAAAAAAUUAAGUUGACAUUUUUGUUCAAUAUGAUCCAGAGUAUACCAAACUACAAUAAGUUAUAUUGAAAAAUGACAAAAUUUUAUUAGGAUCAGAAUUAAUAUGUAGGAACAAACAUAUAUGAGUUAUUAUAUCCCUAAAUUAAAAUGGAUGAGUGUUCUUUGUAGACACUUUUGUGACAAGUGAAGUCAGUAUCAUUAUUUUAUCACAACCCAUUGCCCAUUCUUAUUAAAUAUAGUAGAUAAUUCUAUUAAAUGUCAUAUUGUCCCUUUAUGAUGCAAAUUGCAAACUAUAAAGUUUUGUCUACUCUAUACAGUUACACAACAUAAUUAAAUUCCAAGUUCUUCCCAUUAUUUGGCUUGGACCACUUUUCUCAAAAAUACUCUUUUUUUUUUCUUUCUUUUACUUAUUUCAUGCUUAUUUAACAAUUCAUGUCAUAGUUCUAGUUGUAGAAACAAUUCCCUAAUAAAAAUAAAAAAUGGAGGAUGAAAUGAAUAACUUCAUCAAGGUAUGGCUUUCAAUCUUUGUUUCUUUAUCUUAUUGUUAUGUUAUUAGUAAAAUAGUUUCAAAAGGUAUGAAAAGACUCAUUUGUUUUCUCCCAAUUAUGCUCUUAUUUCUAUUGCUUCCUCUUAAACUCAAUUCCAUAAACUUAGUAGGCGCCACUGCCUUUUUCAUCUCUUGGCUUGCGAACUUCAAACUUUUACUCUUUGCUUUCGAAAAAGGCCCUUUAGCUUCAAACUCAAAUUCUCUAGGGUUUUUUGUGGUCAUUGCUUGCCUCCCCAUUGCCAUAAAAGAAAACCCAUCUAACAACAAAAUGAUAAAACAAGCUUCAAAACUACAUCUAAUCAACUUUCCCACAAAGAUUAUUUUUUUGGUUGUUUUGUUACGAGUUCUUGACUACAAAAAACAGAUGCACCAUAAUUUCGUUGUGCUUAUUUAUUGUCCUUUGAUAUAUCUUCUUCUCGAGACCAUUUUAGCCUUAGCGGCUACCUUGGCUCGAGCCCUAGUAAGACUUGAGCUCGAGCCACAAUUCCACGAGCCAUAUCUCUCAACCUCACUACAUGACUUUUGGGGAUGUAGGUGGAAUCUCAUGAUAAGACGUAUAUUGCGUCCUACAAUAUACGAGCCCACCUUGAACCUCGUGUCACCACUUGUAGGUCGAAAAUGGGCUCCAAUCCCUGCUAUUUUGGGAACUUUUGUAGUCUCUGGCCUUGUUCACGAGCUCAUUUAUUACUACAUAGCACGUGUGACUCCCACGUGGGAAGUGACAUCAUUCUUCAUACUACAUGGAUUGUGCUACACAAUCGAGAUUUGUUUGAAAAAGACUUUGAUUGACAAGUGGCAAAUUCCUAAGGUGAUAUCAAGAAUGUUGACUGUUGGGUUUGUAACAUUGACCGGAAUUUGGUUGUUCUUUCCACAAUUUUUUAGGUGCAAGGCCGAUGUUAAGUUGGUCCAAGAGUAUGCAUAUUUUGGUACCCUUUUGAAAAAUAUGAUAGUGCCAUACAUAUCAAAAUGAAUAACUCUAAAACAAGAUAUAAGUUAGAACAUUAAUAUCAAAGAUUUGAAAGAAAAUCUUUUGUCAUGUAACCUAAAAAAAAAUUGCAUUUUGGUGCUAAUCUGGCCAAAUUGUAAGAUAUUGAAAUUUAUUAAUUUUAUGCAUGUAGACAAAUCCCUUUGAUUGCUUUGGUGUCAUCUUCUAUAAUUAAUUUGAAUUUUCCAAAGCACUAUGCAAGAUCAACCACUUUAACAUAAUAGAAUAUUAAUAUUUCAAAAGAGAGGAAUAAAAAAAUAUAUAAGAAGCAAAUUAAUAUAUAUAUUAUCAUGAUCCAAACAUAAGAUGCCAAAGCACUUAACUUCAUAUAAUUAUUCAAACCAUAUAUUUUGUUUAAAUACAAAAGUCUGUCUAAAGUGCUGGAUCUCAUAUUAAUUAUAAUUAUUCCAAAGUCUUGAUCCCUAAAAGCUUUGGUUCUUCCCCACUUUGCAAAAGAGGUGGAUCAAGAAAGAAAGAAGGGGAAAGAAAAAAUGGAGGGUGAAAUGAACAACUUCAUAGAGAGGAGAAAUGGAGAGACUCCUAGUUUUUCUUUGCCGAAAUUAGUAUCGUCAAAAUCAUUGAAUAUAUGAACAUAAACUACUCGAUGUCGAAGGGGUGUUGGGUUGGACUUUUUUGUUUGUAUGCUCGGAAAUAUCAAGAAGCCCAAGGGAGAUUGGACGGUGUGACCAUGUUGGAAGCCAAUUGUCAAGCUGGAGGAGCAACCCCCUGAGCAUCCAUGGUACCUACCGAUUGACUGGUGGUACAAGCUCAACGUUGAUGCUGGGUUACAUCCCUCUGAUGGGUGUAUGGGGUUUGGAGUGGUGAUUCGUAGGGCCAUACUGGACGGUGAGUGGCGUCUGCCGUUAUUCUCGUCGUCGGUCUCCUUGCUCAAUCUGUAGCUGAAGCUAUGACUAUAUUGGUGGGAUCACAAUUAUGCUAUCAUCUUGGUUAUUAUAAUAUCAAGGUGGAGAUAAAACACCAUUUGUCUAUAGAUGAGUUUGAAGAGGUAAUUAAAAUUAGUUGGGCUAUUUGGGAGAAUAGAAACCGGUUGUGGAACCACUUACCUACUAUGAAUGGUGAGAGACUAAUUGAAUGGGUGCUUAAUAGCUACCCCAAGCCUACAACCAUCACCAUUGAUCGCUGCAGCGACAUCUCACACCAGAAGGACAGGUUGCACGGCUGGCAGGCCCCCCCGAAGGUGUUUACUGUGUAUAUUGCGAUGCAGCGUUGAUUCCAGGGGCAGUAGGCGUUGGUUUGGGGUUCAUGUGGACAGAUUGGAAGGCCAACAUUCAGGCAGCAGGUAUGUGUUUUCUCCCUCACUGCAGCUCGGUGACCAUUGCCGAAGCUGAAGCAAUAUUGGCUGCCUUGAAGAGCUGCCCGAUUGACACCAACAGCCAGUUUGAAGUGCGCACGGACUGUAAGCAGUUAGUGGAUGAGUUCAAUGGUGGGAGCAACUCCCUCACUAUGGACAGAUCGGUUAUAAAUAAGAUCAAGCGCCACCAAAGGUUUCCCCGUUGUACAAAGCUCAAUUUUGUGUAUAGGAAAGAUAAUGAGAUUGCACAUAGAUUAGCCAAGAGAAGCCUUGAGUACCAUUUAACUCAAUCUUUUCUCAAUUCUUUUCCUGAGUGGUUAGCUAAGCAUUGUAUAGCUAACCUCUCUCAUUCUUUGUAGUUUUGAGCUUUGAUUAAUAAAGACUACUUUCAAAAAAAAAA